rnacentral:rRNA from 1 species
AUUGAACGCUGGCGGCAGGCCUAACACAUGCAAGUCGAACGAGUGGCGGACGGGUGAGUAAUGUCUGGGAAACUGCCUGAUGGAGGGGGAUAACUACUGGAAACGGUAGCUAAUACCGCAUACCAUCGGAUGUGCCCAGAUGGGAGUAGCUAGUAGGUGGGGUAACGGCUCACCUAGGCGACGAUCCCUAGCUGGUCUGAGAGGAUGACCAGCCACACUGUAACUGAGACACGGUCCAGACCCCUACGGGGGGGAGCAGUGGGGAAUAUUGCACAGUGGGCGGAAGCCUGAGGCAGGCAUGCCGGGUGUAGGAAGAAGGCGUGCGGGUUGUAAAGUACUUUCUGCGGGGAGGCGUUACCCGCCGAAGAAGCACCGGCUAACUCCGUGCCAGCAGCGGGGGUAUAC